GGAUCAAACUCUAGAGUUUGAUCCUGGCUCAGGAUCAAACUCUAGAGUUUGAUCCUGAGUCAGGAUCAAACUCUAGAGUUUGAUCCUGGGUCAGGAUCAAACUCUAGAGUUUGAUCCUGGGUCAGGAUCAAACUCUAGAGUUUGAUCCUGGCUCAGGAUCAAACUCUAGAGUUUGAUCCUGGCUCAGGAUCAAACUCUAGAGUUUGAUCCUGGGUCAGGAUCAAACUCUAGAGUUUGAUCCUGGCUCAGGAUCAAACUCUAGAGUUUGAUCCUGGCUCAGGAUCAAACUCUAGAGUUUGAUCCUGGCUCAGGAUC
rnacentral:rRNA from 1 species